GACAUAGGUGGCGAACGUUAUCCGGAUUUAUUGGGCGUAAAGGAUGCGUAGGUGUUAUAAUAAGUUACUGGUAAAAAAUAAGAGCUCAACUCUUAGUCAGCUAGUAAUACUGUUAUAAUUGAGGACCAAAGAGGUUGACGGAAUUCUCUGUGGAGCGGUGAAAUGCGAUGAUAUAGAGAGGAACACCACAAAAGGCGAAGGCAGUUAACUAUUUGGUUCCUGACACUGAGGCAUUGAAAGCGUGGGGAGCAAAACGGG
rnacentral:rRNA from 1 species